GAAAAUCGUGUUAUCACAAAGGGCGAAGAUGUGAGAAUCUUCAAUUCAUAAUUUUCUUAGGUACUAUUCAAGCAGAACAAUUGAUUUCAUUUUGAACAAUGGUUCUUAUGACAGUACUAUGCAUGGUUACCUGUUUCAGUUAGUGUUUCUGUGAAAUCCAUCUCUCUUCCCCAUCAAACUGGUUGAACAUUAAGCCGCGCUCCUUUUAAACUUUUCACACAAUUGAUAGAAGUAAUUCGAAUGGGGGAGAAGAAAAUUUAGCGGCAUUUUAUGGAAGUUAGUGACAUUUUAUGGGAAUAAAUUUGUUAUAAAAGGGAUGAAGGGUAGUGAGUGAGUAAGGUAUUCGGAAAGAUUGUUAAAGAGUUUGUUAGGAGAGUUUCUCUGGCUAGGAGUGCUGAACUCUGGUUUAUCAUUUCAGUUUAUGUUUCCACCAUUGUAGAACCUUUGUGCUCAAACUUUUCCAUAAAUAAAAUACAGUUUCGUUAUCUUAAUUUUACGGGUUCUAUCAGUUUCCG
rnacentral:lncRNA from 1 species